rnacentral:lncRNA from 1 species
ACUUUUUAAGCUCCUCUUGUUGUUGGAGUUCUCAUUCAGUGUCUGACAAGAUGGGAGCUGAGUCAGUGUUGGUCUUUGUCAUUCUGGCUGUUUGCUCUGGCAUUGGUAUGUAUUUUAUUAAUUUCUUAAAAGCAAUUCUGUUCUUUUAUACCCCAAACUCAGGAAUCUCCUCUUUGAGUAACAGCCUUGGUCUUCUGCAGUCAGUGGAUUCCAGUGUAAAUAACAUUAAAGAAGUUCAAAUGGAAACCAAUGAGGUAGAAGCUGAGACGUCACUUAAGAGACUUGGAAACGUUUGGACUAGCAUAGCCGCUAGACGCCAGUCCGACGCCGCCAGCAACCAGACUGUGUCCGACGCCGCCAGCAACCAGACUGUGUCCGACGCCGCCAGCAACCAGACUGUGUCCGACGCCGCCAGCAACCAGACUGUGUCCGACGCCGCCAGCAACCAGACUGUGUCCGACGCCGCCAGCAACCAGACUGUGUCCGACGCCGCCAGCAACCAGACUGUGUCCGACGCCGCCAGCAACCAGACUGUGUCCGACGCCGCCAGCAACCAGACUGUGUCCGACGCCGCCAGCAACCAGACUGUGUCCGACGCCGCCAGCAACCAGACUGUGUC